ACCCCAGGUCAGGCGGGGCCACCCGCUGAGUUUAAGCAUACUACCAGCUGUCGCCCCGCGACCAUAACGAGGAGGCCCCCUUUCCUAAGUCCCCUUAUAUUCCUG
rnacentral:rRNA from 1 species